rnacentral:rRNA from 1 species
AAACAUGGCUUUUUGAAAAAUAAAAAGUCUUACCUGCACACUGAAACAUAAAGAGCUGCAGUAAUUUAAACUGUACUAAGGUAGCAUAAUCCUUUGUCUUUUAAUUAAAGACUUGAAUGAAAGGUACGACGAGAUAUAAACUUUUAAUUUACAAAAUAAAUUACUUUUAGGUUAAAAUGCCUAAUUAAACUCAAAAGACGAUAAGACCCUAUAAAAUUUAAUUUACUAUAAAAAUAGCAUAGAUAUUCUUUUUUUAAAUUUAACUGGGAUAGUUAAAAUAUUUAAACUACUUUUACCAAAACGUUAUAACCACGAAAUUAAAAAUCUUAUAAAAAUUAAAUUACUUUAGGGAUAACAGUGUAAUCCUUCAUAAAGCUCGUAUUAAAAGAAGGGAUCACAACCUCGAUGUUGAAUUAAGAAAUCGCAAUAGUGCAACCGCUGUUUCCGAAGAUCUGUUCGAUCUUUAAUUUCUUACAUGAUCUGAGU